CAGUCGCCGCGGGAAUACAGAGGGUGCGAGCGUUAAUCGGAUUUACUGGGCGUAAAGCGUGCGUAGGCGGCUUUUUAAGUCGGAUGUGAAAUCCCUGAGCUUAACUUAGGAAUUGCAUUCGAUACUGGGAAGCUAGAGUAUGGGAGAGGAUGGUAGAAUUACAGGUGUAGCGGUGAAAUGCGUAGAGAUCUGGAGGAAUACCGAUGGCGAAGGCAGCCAUCUGGCCUAAUACUGACGCUGAGGUACGAAAGCAUGGGGAGCAAACAGGAUUAGAUACCCCCGUAGUCCCUGUCUCUUAUAC
rnacentral:rRNA from 1 species